rnacentral:rRNA from 1 species
CUUUUUUCCAAUCUGCUCCUCUCCCCCUCGCCCACGAACUCCUCGCCGCCGCCGCCACCCGCGCCGGCCGCUUCCGGCGACCUCUGAUGCCGCGCAGCACGCCCCCGAGCUCCCCAUGGUCCGCGCCUCCCUCCGCUUCGGCCAGAUUCUCCGCUCCCGUCCUCUACCGCCUGCUCGCAACCCCACCCCCGUGGCUAGGGUUUCAGGCAGGGCUUCGCCGGCGCGUCUCCGGCGGCCCCAGUUAUUUGGCUCAUCGUCGUGUCGCAAGUUUCUGACGUCGCUGUACACCGUGGACUUUGCCGGAAAUCCGUCUGCACGUACUCCACCGUCUGCCGGAACUUCGUCUGACCUGAG